ACAAAAACUUGGAAGAAAACUUGAAUUGGGCUUUAUAUGGAUUGAAGAUGUUGUGAGCCCAAACGCAGGGGUGUUACUAGCAGUCAGGUGGUGUAUGGGGAAAUCCACUUAGGUCUGGGCCCAAACAGGAUCUUCAACAAGCUGAAAUAGGGGACGCACAUUUUGAGAUAAAAAAGGAUACCACCAAAACGCACACGGACCAAAAGCCUAAAUCGCCGUCGUGUUCUCCGUCAUAUCCCCGAUCGCAUCACCGUCGCGGCUCUAGGAAGAAGAAGAUGACUCCGAUUUGUGUCGUCGUAGUCGCCAUUGAUGAUGACUUGGUCCGAGCGAAGAGGAAGACGGUUACGAUCAAUGCGCGCACUCAUCCAUAUCUCGCGAUGGUUCAGUAACAUUCAACAGAUGAUUCGUUCGUUAAUCAGUUACCGGAUUCAAAGUUCAUAACAUCAAAUUCGACUCGAUCUGUUAUCGUGUGAACGAUCCGGAACAAAAAUGAAAUAACAAGCAACUUGAAGACUCACCGAAUUGAAUAGGUAUCGAAUUUUUAAAAUGACUUUCGAUUUCUUCUCUUUCUGUUAUGGCGCGUUUGAUUCCGUUAGGAUUGUGGUUUCAGUGGAGGACGAAUUGGAGACUAUUUCAGUUAUCGAAGAUUGGAAGAUGAAGGUUGAAGAUGGUUGCGAUGCGGUUAGCGAUUACGAAGUCGUUUUUUGUUAAGCUCUUUUUCUCUUCUCUUUCUUUAUUUUUGUUAUCUUUUCUUGUUGUUAUGGAGUAUGGUGAGGGUGAGGGUUCGGUGAAGGGAUAG
rnacentral:lncRNA from 1 species